GAUGAACGCUGGCGGCGUGCCUAAUACAUGCAAGUCGAGCGAACAGACGAGGAGCUUGCUCCUCUGACGUUAGCGGCGGACGGGUGAGUAACACGUGUAUAACCUACCUAUAAGACUGGGAUAACUUCGGGAAAGCGGAGCUAAUACCGUAUAAUAUAUUGAACCGCAUGGUUCAAUAGUGAAAGACGGUUUUGCUGUCACUUAUAGAUGGUUCCGCGCCGCAUUAGCUAGUUGGUAAGGUAACGGCUUACCAAGGCAACGAUGCGUAGCCGACCUGAGAGGGUGAUCGGCCACACUGGAACUGAGACACGGUCCAGACUCCUACGGGAGGCAGCAGUAGGGAAUCUUCCGCAAUGGGCGAAAGCUUGACGGAGCAACGCCGCGUGAGUGAUGAAGGUCUUCGGAUCGUAAAACUCUGUUAUUAGGGAAGAACAAAUGUGUAAGUAACUAUGCACGUCUUGACGGUACCUAAUCAGAAAGCCACGGCUAACUACGUG
rnacentral:rRNA from 1 species